rnacentral:rRNA from 1 species
GCAUUGGAACCACCUGAUCCCAUCCCGAACUCAGCAGAGAAACGAUGUAUCGCCGAUGUUAGUUUGGGGUGUCACCAUGUGAGAGUAGGUCAUCGUCAAGA